AUUGAACGCUGGCGGCAUGCCUUACACAUGCAAGUCGAACGGUAACAGGUCUUCGGAUGCUGACGAGUGGCGAACGGGUGAGUAAUACAUCGGAACGUGCCUAGUAGUGGGGGAUAACUACUCGAAAAAGUGGCUAAUACCGCAUGAGAUCUACGGAUGAAAGCAGGGGAUCGCAAGACCUUGUGCUACUAGAGCGGCCGAUGGCAGAUUAGGUAGUGGGGGGGAUAAAAGCUUACCAAGCCGACGAUCUGUAGCUGGUCUGAGAGGACGAUCAGCCACACUGGGACUGAGACACGGCCCAGACUCCUACGGGAGGCAGCAGUGGGGAAUUUUGGACAAUGGGCGCAAGCCUGACCCAGCAAUGCCGCGUGCAGGAUGAAGGCCUUCGGGUUGUAAACUGCUUUUGUACGGAACGAAAAGCCCUGGGUUAAUACCCUGGGGUCAUGACGGUACCGUAAGAAUAAGCACCGGCUAACUACGUGCCAGCAGCCGCCGUAAAAC
rnacentral:rRNA from 1 species